GCAGAGAUGAAAAGAGAGAUAGCCAAAUAAGAUAAAGAUGAAAUUUCUUUUUUUACUGUAGGAGUAAACUGCUUGGGAGGAUCAGGAGCCAGAUCAGCAGCUGUUGCAGUGUAUAUUCUGGGCGAUAAAGUAGUUUAGAUCUAGGCUCUGUUUAACGACAAUGAAAUUUGCCUCAGACACCAACCCAACAACUUUUAAAGUUAUCUCCCUUUAAAUCUAUUGAAACUCUUUUUCCACUCUUGUAGUAUGUUCGCGCAGUAUCUAGGAGAAGAGCUUCUUAUUCUUCCCCUCUUCCCCUCUGUUCUUUUAUUAAGGUCUCCCUCCCUGCAAACCCCUGCCCACACACUCUUCUUGGGAAGCAGGUAACAUGGAAAGUGCUGAAGCAACACAAGAUACGAUGUUCUUGAAGAACCUCUGAUCUGCUGAGCAAUGUCUUGCGAGAUUUACAGCUCCAAAGGAUUUACCAUAAAUAAAUAAAACCUUUCAACACCUUACAGCUCCUGGGAAACAAAAUCCAAAACAUUCUGAGUUGCGCUUAUCACCUCUUAUUGCCAAUGUUACUGGUUUCGAAAAGCACCAAUGUCUUGUCGGUUCUUGGUGUGAAGCCACUUGCAGCCAGCGAGUGAACCUCCAGCUGUUUUUUGAAUGGGGAAUGUUUUUAUUUUCCAGAAGAUGUCAUUAUAAAGUGAGCUUCUCUGAUCUUUCAACUUUCUGGUAAGUAAUUAAACCAGGCUUUUCCGUUUUCUGUAUGUUUUCUGUAUGAAGCUGCCAUGAACUU
rnacentral:lncRNA from 1 species